rnacentral:rRNA from 1 species
GACGAACGCUGGCGGCGUGCCUAAUACAUGCAAGUCGAGCGAGCUUGCCUAGAUGAAUUUGGUGCUUGCACCAAAUGAAACUAGAUACAAGCGAGCGGCGGACGGGUGAGUAACACGUGGGUAACCUGCCCAAGAGACUGGGAUAACACCUGGAAACAGAUGCUAAUACCGGAUAACAACACUAGACGCAUGUCUAGAGUUUAAAAGAUGGUUCUGCUAUCACUCUUGGAUGGACCUGCGGUGCAUUAGCUAGUUGGUAAGGUAACGGCUUACCAAGGCAAUGAUGCAUAGCCGAGUUGAGAGACUGAUCGGCCACAUUGGGACUGAGACACGGCCCAAACUCCUACGGGAGGCAGCAGUAGGGAAUCUUCCACAAUGGACGCAAGUCUGAUGGAGCAACGCCGCGUGAGUGAAGAAGGGUUUCGGCUCGUAAAGCUCUGUUGGUAGUGAAGAAAGAUAGAGGUAGUAACUGGCCUUUAUUUGACGGUAAUUACUUAGAAAGUCACGGCUAACUACGUGCC